AAAAAUUAACUUACUAUGUUUAUAAAAAAUUUGUUUUAGAGAAUUAUCUUUUACUUUAGUAUAUUAUUGAAAAAGUUUUUUUUGUAAUAGUUUAUUAGUACUGUGGGGUAAUGUUGAAAUAUUCUGAAAAUUUAUUUUAAAUAAAGCAUACUUUUUUGUAGUACCUUUUGUAUCAGGGAUAAUUAAUUUUAUUUAAUUUAUAUUAAUA
rnacentral:rRNA from 1 species